rnacentral:rRNA from 1 species
UACGAAGGACCCGAGCGUUAUCCGGAUUUAUUGGGUUUAAAGGGUGCGUAGGCGGCCGCGCAAGUCAGUGGUGAAAUCUCCCAGCUUAACUGGGAAACUGCCAUUGAAACUAUGUGUCUUGAGUACAUUUGAGGCGGGCGGAAUGUGUCAUGUAGAGGUGAAAUUCUUAGAUAUGACACAGAACACCAAUUGCGAAGGCAGCUCGCUAAACUGUAACUGACGCUGAGGCACGAAAGCGUGGGGAUCAAACAGG